UUUUAAUGAGAGUUUGAUCCUGGCUCAGGACGAACGCUGGCGGCGUGCCUAAUACAUGCAAGUAGAACGCUGAAGGAGGAGCUUGCUUCUCUGGAUGAGUUGCGAACGGGUGAGUAACGCGUAGGUAACCUGCCUGGUAGCGGGGGAUAACUAUUGGAAACGAUAGCUAAUACCGCAUAAGAGUAGAUGUUGCAUGACAUUUGCUUAAAAGGUGCACUUGCAUCACUACCAGAUGGACCUGCGUUGUAUUAGCUA
rnacentral:rRNA from 1 species